AGAUUGAACGCUGGCGGCAUGCUUUACACAUGCAAGUCGAACGGUAACAGGCCGCAAGGUGCUGACGAGUGGCGAACGGGUGAGUAAUGCAUCGGAACGUGCCCAGUCGUGGGGGAUAACGCAGCGAAAGCUGUGCUAAUACCGCAUACGAUCUAUGGAUGAAAGCGGGGACCGAAGGCCUGCGCGAUUGGAGCGGCCGAUGUCAGAUUAGCUAGUUGGUGGGGUAAGCCCACAAGGCGACGAUCUGUAGCUGGUCUGAGAGGACGACCAGCCACACUGGACUGAGACGACGGUCCAGACUCCGUACGGGAGGCAGCGAGUAGGGGUAACUUUUUAGGACUAAGUGGCGACGAGACCUGACUCCAGCAAGUGUCCGCGU
rnacentral:rRNA from 1 species